GCCAUUCUCCUGCCUCAGCCUUCCGAGUAGCUGGGACUAUAGGUGCCCGCCACCACGCCAGGCUAAUUUUUUGUAUUUUUAGUAGAGAUGGGGUUUCACCGUGUUAGCCAGGAUGGUCUCGAUCUUCUGACCUCGUGAUCCGCCCGCCUCGGCCUCCCAAAGUGCUAGGAUUACAGGCGUGAGCCACCGCGCCCGGCAGCAAAUUUUAAAUGCCCCUGGCUUCAGAUAGAAAGGCCCUGAACAUCUACUGGGGUUUUGAGAAGAAUAUCAACACUUUCCUAAGAGAAUUUUCUAUCUGUAAGAUCAUAUACUUGAUUGGAAAUGGCUUUGCUAACUGGUAUAUUUUUAUUCAUUUGAUCAACUUAAAUAUACCCUUACAAAAGAAGUUUAUACCAAUACAUCAAGCGUACAACAAAGUGAACACAGUGACUGCAAACCAGAUCUGUAGGCCUCAUGCCUCAAAUAAUGAAAAUUGUGAUUUUUUUUCAUUGUGCAAACAACUUGAUUAUUAACUCUGAUGAAUAUCCGCUAAAAAUAUUUUGAAUAUUAUGAAAAGCAGUUGGAAAAACUUGAUAUGUAUUCUUUGAAAUUAUUUUUCCAAAUGGAGUAAAUGGAUUAAAAUAAAAGAAAGAAAAACCAAAAAUAUUUUCCCUUAAGGACAUUAGCAGAUAAUAUUAAUAUAUUCAGAAAAAGUUUGAAGCUUGCUUCAGUUUUUGAAAUAAAUAUUUAUCAGAAAAAACUUCCUAUUUUAUUUUGAUUCAAAAUUAAUUAUCAGGAUUCAGUUCUUUCAGAGAAUAUAGUGAUUUUUUUUUCUAUUCUCAUUCUAUGCUCUUGUCAGUUGGAAUUCAGUGAAAUCAUAACUAAUCACUGAAACUAUUUUAUAAAAAUUUCUUUUCAUCUGAAACUAAGUGACUGAGCCUAUUAUACGCUUUAUUCUUGAUUGACUUUAUUCUUUUCUGUUAGAAAUUAUAUUUAGGUAUGCAUUUCUACAAAUUGAUUACACCGAAUAUUGCUCAUUUUACUACUUAACUUUUAGUUUGGAUUUAAUUUUUAAAUUCAAUAAUGUUAUUUUGCUCUAUUUGUACUAUAGGUUUGUAUUAUAGUUUGUCUAAUGACAGUAGUAAUAUAAUAUUUUAUUCAUGAAUGCAUGUUAAUAAAAAUGUAUAUUAUAUACAUAAGUAUAUAA
ensembl:lncRNA novel transcript